AUGGGCACGAUGGGACACCACCAGCGGUCGCGCUCCGCCUCCGGGAGCCCCUCGGCGACGCGCUCAUCAAACGCCACCGAGCUUGACUUCGCCGCCGCCGACCUAGAGUGCCCCUUCGGCGGCAUCGGUGCCCUCGGCUCCGUGGAGCUCCGCGAGACGGCGUACGAGAUUUUCUUCAUGUCCUGCCGCUCCUCCGGUGGCGCUGCAGCGUCGAGCCCCGGGGCGCGGGGCGGCGGCGCGUCGGAGGGGGAGGUGUCGUCACCGGUGGCCGGCGCGGGGGCGAGGGGCGGGAGCGCCGUCAUGAGCAGCAAGGUGAAGAAGGCGCUGGGGCUCAAGCCGAGGCGGUCCGCGCCGACGAUGGUGCGUACCUCGAGCCAGAAUUCAGGCCCGGUCUCUCCCGGCAGAACACGGCGGCCGAUGACGUCGGCAGAGAUCAUGCGGCAACAGAUGCGGGUGACCGAGCAGAGCGACGCGCGGCUCCGUCGAACGCUCAUGCGCGCCGUCGUCGGACAGGUUGGGAAGAAGCCUGAUUCCAUCGUUCUGCCAUUGGAGCUACUUCGGCAGCUGAAGCCGUCCGAGUUCACCGACGGCGAGGAGUACCACCAGUGGCAGUUCCGGCAAAUCAAGCUCCUAGAGGCAGGCCUCCUUCUGCACCCGUCCCUCCCGCUCGACCGCCUCCACGCCGCCGUGCUCCGUUUCCGCGAGGUGAUGCGCGCCACAGAGAUCCGCGCCAUCGACACGGGCAAGGGCUCCGACGCGAUGCGGGUCCUGACCAACGCCGUGCACGCGCUCGCGUGGCGCCCCGGCAGCGGCAGCGACGCGUGCCACUGGGCCGACGGCUACCCGCUCAACGUGCUCCUCUACGUCUCCCUCCUCCAGACCGUCUUCGACCACAGGGAGCCCACCGUGGUGCUAGACGAGGUGGACGAGCUGCUGGAGCUCAUCAAGAAGACUUGGCCGAUCCUGGGCGUCGGCCGGGCGGUGCACAACGUGUGCUUCGCCUGGGUCUUCUUCCAGCAGUACGUGGUGACCGAGCAGGCCGAGCCAGACCUCGCGUCCGCGACUCUCGCCCUGCUCGCCGACGUGGCGGCCGACGCCAAGCAGGGGAGCCGCGAGUCCCUGUCCCGUGACCCGGUGUACGCCAAGGUGCUCCUCAGCGCGCUCGGCAAGAUGCAGGAGUGGUCGGAGAAGCGGUUGCUGGACUACCACGAGAGGUACGAGAGAGGCACCGGCGGGACUGCCACGGAGGGCAUGGAGAUAUUGCUGUCCUUGGCGCUUGCCGCAGGCAAGAUCGUCGCCGACCGCGAAUACGCGGGCACCGGGAACUUCACCGCCGACCGCGUCGACUACUACAUCAGGUGUUCCAUGAAGAACAUCUUCACCAAAAUACUCGAGAAUGGCAUGCGAGAGGCAGACCCUGCAAACGACCCCGGCGUGAUCCUGACGCGGCUGGCGAGGGAGACGGAGCAGCUGGCCAAGUUCGAGCGCGCCAACUUCAGCCCGCUGCUGAGGCGGUUGCACCCGGCCCCCAUAGCGGUCGCCGCAGUCACCCUGCACGGCUGCUUCGGCGUGGUGCUGAGAGAGUACCUGGGCAAGGUCACCAUCCUGACGGAGGAGCUCGUCCGCGUGCUCCACUCUGCGAAUCGCCUGGAGAAGGCCCUGGCACAGAUGACCGCCGAGGACGCGGCGGACUGCGAGGACGACCGGGCAAGGGCCGUCGUGGGCGACAUGGAGCCCUACGAGGUGGAGUCAGUGGUGAUGAGCUUGCUCAAAGCUUGGAUGGACGACAGGCUUCGGAUCAGCGCGGACUGCCUCCUCAGAGCCAAAGAAACCGAGAGCUGGAUUCCCAAGUCCAAGGAGGAGCCUUUCCCCGCGUCGGCAAUAGAGUUGAUGAGGCUGUCCAGGGCCACCAUCGACGAGUUCUCUGACAUUCCGGCGACGGCAAAAGACGACGUGGUUCAGGCGCUCGUCGACGGCCUCGACUCAAUCUUUCAAGACUACAUCUCCUUCGUGGCAUCAUGUGGGUCGAAGCAGAACUACGUCCCUCCCCUCCCGGCGCUGACGAGGUGCAACCAGGACUCGGGCUUCUUCCGGCUGUGGAAGAAGGCGGUGCUGCCGUCGUGCCAAGCGCCGGAGGCCAACCCGCGCGGCGGCGCCUCUCAGCACAACCCGCGGCCAUCCAUAAGCCGCGGCACGCAGCGCCUCUACGUCCGCCUCAACACGCUCCACUACGUCCUCACCCACGUCCAGGCCAUCGAGGAGCCGCUCUCGUCACUCUCCUCUGCCUCCGGCGGUAACCGGGUGGCAACUUCCCUCAACUUCGACCGCACCCGCGCCGCGGCCCAGUCGGCGGUGUCCCACGUCGCCGAGGUGGCCGCAUCCCGGCUUAUCUUCCUCGACUCGCGCCACGCCUUCUACCAGGGCCUGUACAUCCGCAACGUCGUCGACACACGCAUCCGGCCGGUGCUCCGCGCGCUGAAGCAGAACCUGUCGUUCCUCGUGUCCGUGCUCGUUGACCACGCGCAGCCGGUGGCCGUGCGGGAGGUGAUGAAGGCCUCGUUCCAGGCGUUCCUGAUGGUCCUCCUCGCCGGCGGCAACGACCGGAGUUUCACGAGGGCGGACCACGGGAUGGUGGAGGAGGACUUCCGGAGCCUGAAGCGCGCCUUCUGCACGUGCGGCGAGGGCCUGGUCCCCGAGGACGUGGUGGUGCAGGAGGCGGAGGCCGUAGAGGGCGUCGUUGAGCUCAUGGCUCGGUCGACGGAGCACCUCAUCACGGCGUUCGGCGCCGCCACGUCGGAGUCCAUCGCGGGCGUGCGAGAAUACGAGGACAGCGAUGGGGGCACGACCCACGUACCGCCGACGAGGCAGUGGGGCCCUGCGGACCCAAACACCAUCCUCCGCGUGUUGUGCCACCGCGACGACGAGGCCGCCAACCAGUUCUUGAAGCGCACGUUCCAGCUCGCCAAGCGGCGGUGA
rnacentral:rRNA from 1 species